rnacentral:rRNA from 1 species
GCGCAGGAAAAGAAACCAACAGGGAUUGCCCUAGUAACGGCGAGUGAAGCGGCAACAGCUCAAAUUUGAAAUCUGGUCCCCUUGCGGGGCCCGAGUUGUAAUUUGUAGAGGAUGCUUUUGGUGAGGUGCCUUCCGAGUUCCCUGGAACGGGACGCCACAGAGGGUGAGAGCCCCGUAUGGUUGGACGCCGAGCCUAUGUAAAGCUCCUUCGACGAGUCGAGUAGUUUGGGAAUGCUGCUCAAAAUGGGAGGUAAACCCCUUCUAAAGCUAAAUACUGGCCAGAGACCGAUAGCGCACAAAUAGAGUGAUCGAAAGAUGAAAAGCACUUUGAAAAGAGAAAUAAAAAGCACGUGAAAUUGUUGAAAGGGAAGCGUUUGCGACCAGACUUGCGCCCGUCGAAUCAACCGUCCCUCGUGGGCGGCGCACUUCGGCGGGCUCAGGCCAGCAUCAGUUCGCUGUAGGGGGAGAAAAGCGGUGGGAAUGUAGCUCUUCGGAGUGUUAUAGCCCGCCGUAUAAUACCCCUCGGCGGACUGAGGACCGCGCUUUUGCAAGGAUGCUGGCGUAAUGGUCGUCAGCGACCUGUCUUGAAACACGGACCAAGGAGUCGUCCUGAUAUGCGAGUGUUUGGGUGUCAAACCCCAGCGCGUAAUGAAAGUGAACGCAGGUAGGAGCUUCGGCGCACUAUCGACCGAUCCUGAUGUUCUCGGAUGGAUUUGA